rnacentral:pre_miRNA from 1 species
UGCCGAUCAGACUGAUCUCGUUCUCCCGGAAAUGUUAACUAAAAAUCAUUUCGGCGAUGAGAUCAGCCUGUCGAUUCUAUGGGC